rnacentral:rRNA from 1 species
GACGAACGCUGGCGGCGUGCCUAAUACAUGCGAGUCGAACGCUUCUUUCCUCCCGAGUGCUUGCACUCAAUUGGAAAGAGGAGUGGCGGACGGGUGAGUAACGCGUGGGUAACCUACCCAUCAGAGGGGGAUAACACUUGGAAACAGGUGCUAAUACCGCAUAACAGUUUAUGCCGCAUGGCAUAAGAGUGAAAGGCGCUUUCGGGUGUCGCUGAUGGAUGGACCCGCGGUGCAUUAGCUAGUUGGUGAGGUAACGGCUCACCAAGGCCACGAUGCAUAGCCGACCUGAGAGGGUGAUCGGCCACACUGGGACUGAGACACGGCCCAGACUCCUACGGGAGGCAGCAGUAGGGAAUCUUCGGCAAUGGACGAAAGUCUGACCGAGCAACGCCGCGUGAGUGAAGAAGGUUUUCGGAUCGUAAAACUCUGUUGUUAGAGAAGAACAAGGACGUUAGUAACUGAACGUCCCCUGACGGUAUCUAACCAGAAAGCCACGGCUAACUACGUG